rnacentral:rRNA from 1 species
UAGUCCACGCCGUAAACGAUGAUCACUCGAUAUUGGCCUCCGGGUCAGUGUCCAAGCGAAAGUAUUAAGUGAUCCACCUGGGGAGUACGCCGGCAACGGUGAAACUCAAAGGAAUUGACGGGGGCCCGCACAAGCGGUGGAGCAUGUGGUUUAAUUCGAUGAUACGCGAGGAACCUUACCAGGGCUUAAAUGCAGAACGACCGGCGUGGAAACAUGCCUUUCUUCGGACGGACUGCAAGGUGCUGCAUGGUCGUCGUCAGCUCGUGCCGUGAGGUGUCGGGUUAAGUCCCAUAACGAGCGCAACCCCUAUCUUUAGUUGCCAGCGGAUAAUGCCGGGGACUCUAGAGAAACUGCCAGCGUAAGCUGAGAGGAGGGUGGGGAUGACGUCAGAUCAUCAUGGGCCCUUACGGGGUAGGGGCUACACACGUGCUACAAUGGGUCGGUACAGGA